rnacentral:miRNA from 2 species
UGUCUACAUUAAUGAAAAGAAC